rnacentral:rRNA from 1 species
GAUGAACGCUGGCGGCGGGCCUAAUACAUGCAAGUAGAACGCUGAAGGAGUAGCUUGCUCUUCUGGAUGAUUUGCGAACGGGUGAGUAACGCGUAGGUAACCUGCCUGGUAGCUGGGGAUAACUAUUGGAAACGAUAGCUAAUACCGCAUGACAACAGUUAUUGCAUUGUAACUGGGUAAAAGUGGCAACUGCUCCACUACCAUAUGCACCUGCGUUGUAUUAUCGAGUUGGUGAGGUAACGGCUCACCAAGGCGACGAUACAUAGCCGACCUGAGAGGGUGAUUGGCCCACCUGGGAAUGAGAAACGGCCCAGACUCCCAAGGGAGGCAGCAGUAGGGAAUCUUCGGACAAGGACGGAAGUCUGACCGCGCAAAGCCGCGGGAGUGAAGAAGGUUUUCGGAUCGUAAAGCUCUGUUGUAAGAGAAGAACGAGUGUGAGAGUGGAACGUUCACACUGUGACGGUAUCUUACCAGAAAGGGACGGCUAACUACGUG